rnacentral:lncRNA from 10 species
UAAAAGUUCUUUAAAUGAAUGGAAACGAAAACAUAAGGCUCUGAAUUUCAGAAAGGACUGGAAUGGGCAAAUAUAGGGGCACAUGUAAUAGACUUUUUAUGAGUUAUAUUUGGUUGAAGCAAAAUUUUAAUGUAAUAUGAUGUAGUAAAUAUAUGCCGCGGAAAUAUUUAAGACAUGCUUAAAAAGUGGGGAAGGGCCUUUUGGCUGGAACCAACCAUCUUCUGUUAAUUUGCCAAAAUGAUGAACGACAAAGAGAAAAGGGAGAGGCACCUGGUAUGUUCUCUAGGCCUUUUAGAAAACAUGGACUUGUUCUUUUGGCCACAUACCUGCAAAUCUAUAAGAAAGAUGAUAUUGGAGACAUCAAGGGAAUGGGUACUGUUCAGAAAGGAAGCCCCACAAGUGUUACCAUGGCAAAACUGCAAGAGUCUACGAUGUUACUCAGCAUGCUGUUGGCAUUGUAAACAAACAAGGUCAGGGCACGACUCUUGCCAAGAGAACUAAUGUGCGUGUUGAGCACAUUAAGCACUCUUAAGAGCCAAGAUAGCUUCCUGAAACAUGUGAAGGAAAAUGAUCAGAAAAAGAAGGAAGCCAAAGAGAAAUG